ACCGUCUCCAUCGGUACGCCUCUGCGCCCACGACCCCAGAGCCCCGCAGCGGGGAUACCGCCGCCUCCGCUCAGCUAUGGCUCGAUGGCACUUUCUUCUUGCAUUUGCCAUCCGGCUCUGUGUCCCUGCUCCGUCUGUGUUCCUUGCGUUUUGCAGAGCUUGUGGUCAGUUUGUUAGGAUCAACUGCCGUCGGCCGCGCCCUCGCCGGUCACCCGGACCCCUUCCGCGUCGUGCACCGGUCCGAGCUUGCCGAGAGGAGGUCAUCGGGGAGUGCGUUGACGCGGUCCUCGCCGUCGUAGCCCUUGGCUGCGGAAAGCGUGGCGCCGUUGCUGGAGGCGGGAUGGCCGGGGAACCACCGGAUGCGGCCUUGGACGCUGCGAGGACCGCGGCGAGCCCCUCGUGCGCCGGCGUGGAGGGCCCUAGGGGCGGCGUCGCCUUCGGCUUCCGAUUCUAGGUCGGUGCCG
rnacentral:lncRNA from 1 species